AACUGGGGGUAUAUUGUUUGCUCAUCAGAAUCUCUCUAAGAACAUUUGUUUUUAAAGCAUGGUUUUCUAAACCCCAUCCCAGAACAUCCUAGAAUGAAGCUCAAAAUAGUUGUGUUUUUAAAAAGUUCCCAUGAUGAUUGUUCCACAGCCACUGGUAUCAUCAAACAAUUAUAACAUGGUGGUAGAGAGGAAAAGGAUGACCUAUUGCAGUAGACCAAGAGCCAGGGAGAAAGGUAUCAAUUAGGGACCAGUGAGGAAGGUACCAGGGGAGUCGGUCACCUUAGAUCCUGAGGGAGAGGGAGGUGUGGAAGAGAGUGUCUUAUACCUCCUACCUCUAGCUUUUCCAGUAUGAAAUACUGCAAAUGCUUGGAUACUUAAUAGAAACUCUGAAGAACAAAAGGAAGCAAUGGAAUCAGGUAGGAUACUUACACACACCAUUGGCGAAAGAACUACCCUAUUGUAUGAAGUAGUCUUUUUUCCAGCUUUAGCACCACUAUGUGGGGCUAUAUAACUAUCGUGGGGACGGCCCUGUGCAUUUCAGGAUGUUGAGCUGCAUCUCUGGCCUCUAACCACAGAAGUCCACAGCAACCCCCUCCCCAGUGUGUGACAACUAAAAACGUCCUCAGACAUUGCCAAACAUCUCCUUGAGGACAAAACUCUCUCUGUGGGAAUCACCACUCUCAACCCAUACUUCUUUACUCUUAGAGGUCUUAAAAUUAGGAACAUGUAAAAAUCUAAAACUUCUCAAACUUCAACAUGAUUUGCUUGUAUUUGCAAACAACAAAAAAGCCCUUCAAACCAUUGCCUGUGGCGCUGAGAAGACACUGCACACUUUUAAGGAGCCUUAAUACCGACAACUCAAAUAGGGAGAAAUGAUUCAGCACGUUUAGCAAUGCAGGAGACCCUGGUUUGAUUCCUGGGUCGGGAAGUUCUGCUGGAGAAGUGCUAGGCUACCCACUCCAGUAUUCUUGGGCUUCCCUUGUGGCUAAAGAAUCCGCCUGCAAUGUGCGAGACCUGGGUUCGAUCCCUGAGUUGGGAAGACCCCCUGGAGAAGGGAAUGGCUACCUACUCCAGUAUUCUGGCCUGGAGAAUUCCAUGGACUGUAUAGUCCAUGGGGUUGCAAAGAGUUGAACACAACUGAGCAACUUACACUUUUCACUUUCAGGUAAUAAAACUCAGAAUUUAAUUAAGGAAAAUCAAGGCAGGAUGUCAGAGAAGUGAGAUUUCCCCCAACAAAGCAGUACCUGCCUCCUCUCUGGGGAUAUUGAAAACAAUACAAGCAGAAUCAACUCAGUGUCUGCCUUCCUGGUUAGGGAGCUGUCCACUCUCAUGUUCCUAUCUUCAUCUGAGACUAUUCAUAUCUCAGGUUGACUGCUAACUUUGCUACAUUCGCAUUUCAGUGGAAAAGAAAAUUUGGACCUAGAUGCCUGAGAGUAGCUAAUCUUUUUCUUUUAGUCCUUCUGUUUUGAUGCUGCCAUGCAUGGACUGUUAACGAAAACAGAAACGAUUUUGCUAUAUAGUUAAUAAUACCCCCUUGAGACACGUAAGUGUUCUACCUUUAUGGGACUGUGGUCUCACCUAGGGUGUGAGGUCCAGUGUCAAUUUUAAGACACAGCUUCUGUGAGCUCGAAGCCAGUCACCACUCCACAAAUGAAUUUACUCUCUGUGCAUAAGCUCCAUAAAAGACAUAAAAUGUUUUAUAUAGUUCAAGUCACACUGACUUGGAUUACUAAAGGAAACAAAGUUUUAUGACUCCAAGAUUAUUCUCCAAUGCUGUAUCACAAAAAAGGAAAAGUAGCUAUGUAUCAUGAGGGCUGGGGGAACUGUAUUAUGCUUCUGCAGCUCUUCACGGCGCUAAAUGAAAUGUCACUGCCAUUGAGGAUUCGCUAGAGCAAACUCCUAGUCCCAGCACAUAGAGGUACAACACCCCUCCAGGCCCACUUCAUGCAAAUAGCCUCGCUAACUGAACGGAAACAGCAGGGAGCCCCUCAAGCAAGCGGCUCCUGAGAUGCAUUCUGUCCCAGGACAUAGCUGCCUGGUGCUCAGUCUCUUAUUUUAUAUUUCUGUGUUAAGAGUCAAUACAAGUAUAAUCUCGCAAAACGUUAUUUCUUCAUCUGCAAGAAACGUGAAGAAAGGAAAGGUUUAUGGUUGACAGAUUUAAGACCCUAGCUCCUUGGCCACUGCGAGAUCUGGAUUUCGGAAGAGGUAAGGGAAGAGGGGCUGAUGGGGGCCCACGGGAAAGGACAGUGAAAUUAUCUUAAGGCAGGACUUGCUUACCAGGCACACUUGGGUUUACCCAGAUCGAAAGUUUAUGGGAGUGGGUUAGAAGAGGAGCUGAUAAAAAUGAUGGCAGUGUUGGAAAUAGUGCUGCAGUGACCACUGGGGGUGCAUGUGUCUUUUAGAAUUAUGGUUUUCUUAGGGUGUAACACAGGGAGCUCAGCGUGGGGCUCUGUGAUGACCUAGAAGGUGGGGGGUGGGAAAGAGGUGACAGAUGUACACAUAUGGCUGAUUCACUUUGUUGUGCAGCAGAAAAUAACACAACAUUGUAAAGCAAUUAUACUCCAAUUUCUUUUAAAUGAUGGCAGUUAUUAACUUCCUUCCUCAACCAACCACCUCCAUGAACUUCUACUGCCCUGCAUAAAAAAGCAUAGAUCAGGUCAUUUAACCUAGUGAUGAUGGCAUCAGUAACAAGGACAGCUUAGUUGAUAAUUGUAAUUAAUGGUAAAAUGGUCUUGAUUGUGGAAUUAUUUUACCUAUAUAAUAAAGAAUAAAUCAGACAACUUACUAUUAAUCUGAGAUAGAAUAAAUAUCAGCUAAAAUUUACAUGUAAAGUUUAUUUUUAAAUCUUGUUUUACAAUAGUAUGUUUUAGACUUAAUCUUUUAUUAAUGAAUCAUUUAAAUAUUUGUAAGAUCUUAUUUAUUAUAAUACCUGAUGUGCACACAUAGGAGAACUCACCUGUUCUAGCCUUCAAUGGCUGAGAACUUGAGUGAUUCAAAACACUCAAAGGGCAAAAAUGUAAGCAAGGUGGGCAACUAUUGAAGAGAGAUUAUAUAUCUCCUUGGGGGGCGGGGGGGGAGGCCAAAGCUGGCGCAGCAACCAAGACUAAAGUUAUUCCGUUCCAGUGUGUGUAGCUCAUUAGCAUCCUCGACUCACCUGUUUUAUGAAUUUUUGUACAAGAAACAGUGCAGAGAUAUUCAGCCAGCUCUGGAGCUACUGGGUGAGCGACCAGCAAGGGGGCCCUGACUUCACCGCUCUCCUCCCAGACAGGAAGCGGACAGUAUAAAGCAAAGAAGAAUGGCAGAAAGCGCCUUCCUUUGCAGCUGGAAAAGCACCACAGGAAGAAGGACUAACCGAGGCUGAGAUGGUUGGAGCAGAAAGAAUGCAGUUUUGACUUUGUUGCCGCUGCUACAGGACCAGCCCGAGUAAUCGGGCAGCACUCGGCAGUCCUCUCCUUCCAAACAAGGGUCCAUGUGACACCACCAUUUCUGAAUCACAAUGGAAGCUGGAAGACAAAGGCCAUGUAACAUUUGUGACGCCGUUUCUUCCCUCCAAAUACAGGCAACGUAAAGCUCAAUGCAGUUGGCUAACUGAUUAUGAUGUAGGAAGUAAGGUCUCAAACUGUGCAGCCUUCUUUAAUUUCUUCACCUGUACAAUGGGGAGAGAAAUAGAGCCUCCCCAAAGGAUGGCAAGAGGAUACAGCCGUUCUGUGUAGAAGUCCUGGCUGACUUUGCGCCAGUGACUGUGUUGUCAGGAAAUGUUAACUGUCAUUGUGUCAAGACUGGGAACAGACAGUAGUUUCAUCCCAGAAGGUGCUCAUCUCUCCAUGCCAUUCCAGCUAGGUGAGUAACCCCCUGAGUCAGCUGGGCCCCAGGUUAAGAGGGGGAACACUGGUACCCCUUCAGAAGCCCACAUUCUCGGUCAGUUAGCCGGCUUACCUGUGACUUCCCUUCACCUCACCGUGCCCACAGCAGGCUGCCAAUACAGUGAUUCAUGCUGGAAGCCCAUGAAUCAGAAACUAGCACCCCAGUUCUCUGAGUUUGCAGGUAAAGAUGGUGAUAGGUUUUUUAAGGGGACCCCCACGCAGAAGGCUGGUAGAGGACAAAGCUGGGGGUGGUGUGUAUGGAUUGGAGGUGAAAGUAGAUUAACCUUUCAUUGUUGUUUAAACAGUAACAGGUUGCUUUUUUAAAAAAUACCCCAAUGGAGUCUACCAUUGCCUCAGAACUCUGAAAGUCAAGUUCAAGAAAAAGCAGGUGUUACACAAGCCUACCUUGGAGGAAUCUGGACCACCACCAUAAAGAGAGAAAUCUGAGGUCCAGUGGUGAGAAGCAACCUGCCCAAAGUCCCCAUUUUUGCAAAUAGCCAAACGGCAUUUCAGCAGAGGUGCCCGAGUGCUAGGGAGUACAUACCUCCUCCCCAGCAGAGGUCUCUACUAGAGGCAGCAACAACGGUAGGUAAUAGAGCAAACGCGAUGUGGCAUGACAAGGGAACAGAGUGAUUGCAUUACUGGCUGAAGUGACGACUUACUGUACCUUCUCUGCAUGCAGCCACCAUUCCAGGUUCUGACCCAACACUGAGGUGUUACCCAGCAAGUCCCCUCCAAACCCAGAGUAGUGCCUGAGUAAGUCAGAUUUGUGGUCCAGAACAACCAACUGCUAUUGAAAUCAGAAGGUGCCAACACUGAGAAAGGCAUAGUGCUAAAUGGGUUAUUUAUUGUGUCAGAGACUGAACUUGAGUGGAGGGACACACUGGGGUCAAGUCUCGGAAAGUUGUAUUUUUUUUCAGCCCCCAAUAUCACAACAGUUUCACCUUAAAAUUGUACAGAGCUGGGUCAUUUUGAAAGCACUUUUAUGUACUGUUCUUCUCGUGAUUGUCCCCAGAACCUUCAGAACCAAGACAAGGAGGCAGAUGGUUCCAGACAAAACACCAGAGCUUUCCACCCCACAAACUUUCUUCCACUCAGCAGUGGAGACCUGUGUACUCCUGGCAGGUAUCAGAGCUACGCGGAUGAUUCGAAAGAAGCUCUGACAGGUGGCUAGAGAUCUAAGUGAAGGUAAGAGGGACGGUGAGGGGUGGACAUUCAGCUGAGAAGGGUGGUCAGGGAAACAAGCUUCAGGGGCUGUGGAGGACAAGUGAACACUUGGUUUUCUCAGCAGUAGGAAGCUCUGGAAAGCUUGUGACCUUCCCUCAGCCAGGAAACCUGUGUCCCUAGAAGAUGAGAGAUCAUGCAGAACAAAAAGAAGUCUGAGAGAAAAGACCAGCUGAGGUGAAGUGAGGUGAGACGUCCAGGAAUAAACUCCCUUCAGAGCAGAGAAGUGCUAGUACCUCCUCACUGGAUCAUGGGGAUCCAAGACAAUGCUGAUGACAAAUCUAAGAAAGGAUCUUGAGGGGGAAAGAUGAUGAUGGAUUCAGGCAUUCAUCACAGACAAACAGGCCAAUUCCUAACUACUGAAUUGCCUAGUGUUUUGUUUAAAGAUUGAACUGUAAUUUAUUUUAAUCAAUAAAAGAAGCAUAUAUUGAUACCAUGAAGACCUUACGAAAUCCUUUACCACGAUCCUUUCAUUUAAUUGGAAAACACAGAGAGGAAUUUCUAAAGACAGAGUCACUGCUGACUCCUCCUGGAAUGUAGAAACUGCUACUUGUAAAAAAAGAAACCCUGUUCGUAUUUGAUAGAACACAAAGAGGGAGGGGGUCCCCUAAGUACACGCUGUAUCCAGGAGAAAGGUUUCUGUGAAAGACUUAAUCCCCAGUGUUCUUUCAGAAAACAGAGACACAGUAAGGGCCACCCCGGUAGCCAAAAUACAAGUUUCAAAUUCCUUUAGGAGUUAAGAGUUGAGGAAAGAACUCACAACGAAGGGGAAAACCAGGCAGGGGGUUGACCUGACAGAGAAGAGAGAAUUGAACAGCCUGCCACUGUCAGCUCGGAGUGCACAAUGGGUGGGGCUGUAAGCUGAGACAAAGGACUCAGAACUAGGAUUCUAUUAAAAUAACUCUUGAGAACAUCUGCCCACUUAGCUGAGUCUUGUCUCCGCAGGAAAAUAAGUUUGUAGGAGGAAUACAUUUUUUUUUUCUCCCUGUUACCAAGUACCGUAAUAUACUUCAAAUGAGAAAGUUAUCUUGUCACUUCUAUUUUUAAAAUGAAAUUCUUUAAAAAGCCCCAUGCCUUCCUGACUUAGGAAAACACAAAAUAUCCCUAUCUCCAAGCUGCCGAGCUGUAACAAAUUUCUGGUUUUAUGCAGGAAAGGAAAUUUUCAAAAAGACAGUGAUGCUCCCGUUUUAUGGUAGCAGUGAGUACUUCCUGUAUGUUCUCUUUUGGGGGACAGUGUGACAAGGUGGCUACGUAGCUAGGUAAAGCUCAUGUACUGUCUUUUUCUCUGUUGUAUAAAAUAGAUGGAUGUUUUUGGUUUCUUGCCCUUGUUCCAAAUAAAUAUUACUCAAUACAUACUCUGUUUUCUUUAAUACAUAAUUAUUUAGAUAAGCCCACCUUCAAGUAAGACUAAAAGGCUCACUUCUCUAUAUCUGGUCUCUCCAUUGUUGAUUUGUUUUGAUUGUUUUUACAAAGCGUUAAGGCUUUUCUAAAGAAAAGUGUGUUUCUACCCUGACAUUAUGGACAGAAAGGUUUAAGAAUACAUCUUCCCCAGGAUAUGUAUCCCCUGGAAAAUGGAAACAGUCACUGGAAACAGUCACAAGGACAUCAAAACAAGAAGAGGCUUUGAUGUAUUUCAUCUUUAGCUAUUUUGCUCUUACCUGUGUUCUUUCAAGACACCUGACAUGUUCCUUAAAUAGUAAGCCACUGAUUAACUUUCAAGAGAGGUAGGUGGAAAACCUUGCCAAUAGAUAUUGCUUGAUAUUCAAGAAAGGAAGCUAUUAGAAGCUGACCCAGGUAACAUACAUAAAAGCAGUAGCUGGAGGACUAUGAUUUUUUUGUUUUUUAAGGAAUCUUUUACUUGUUCACACAUUUCACCUAUGACCCAGUAUUGUUAUUUCCAGAGUAUGAAGCGAGGCUGUGGAUGAAGAUACACACUCCUCCUCUGUGAUCUAAGAUGCAUCUAAAUGCCACCCCACACAGCAGAGACCCUGAAGGCCGGGCUUCUCGACCUUGGCACUCCUGACAUUUGGAGCCAUCUAGUCCUUCACCUCAGGGGUACAGCCUGUGCAUGUGAAGAUAUUCAGCAGCACGACCCUGUCCCCCAGCAGAAAGACCAAAAGCAUCUCCAGACAUAGUCACGUGUUCCCAAGCUGGAGAAAACCACGUGUGGUUGAGCAACAGUGGUCUCCCGUCACCUACAGUUAUGAUCAGACGUGCUCGGCCCAGAAUGAGAGGCUUUGCUAGUUCAUCAAAGCUUUGCCGGGUGAAAACACAACUCACUCUAAACACACACAUCCUGGGUUCACCAUGACACCUAUGCCGACAAUCCAUCUGACCUGUCAAAUUCAGAAAGCACAUUUUUCCUUCUGAGAAAUCUCAGGGUAUUUGAUGUGAACUUCGCUCACAGCAUUUCCUACCUUUCUUAUUGGCAGAGCCUGCUUCAUCCACUCUCCUUGAAUACAAAUUCCCAGACGGCAGGCAGGAAGUCUGAAAAUUUGAUUUGCUCUCAGACCUUUACUAUCACAGGCCCUGUGUACACCUCCAGCUUUGCCUUCUACCAUUUCUGAGCCAGACAAGCUGCUUCCACUUCCCAAGGUUGGCCCCGCUCAUCCUUGGCUGCCCUACACCCCUGCCCCUCCUGCUGCAUAGCAAAGUCAGCCCCAGGGCUUCGCAUGGGUACCUCCCCCACCCUUUCUCUAAGAGUCCUUCACUUACUAGACUUGAA